rnacentral:piRNA from 1 species
UGGCUGGCAGCUUCCAGGCACUCCUAAGGU